ensembl:lincRNA Gm43241 predicted gene 43241
UCCUGCUAACAGUCUGCUAGUGAAAGGCCUCCCCGGAAGAGGCUAAGGUUAUUGGCACAGACAGGUAAGGAAUAUUCUCUUCUGAGUGACGACCUGGGACCACACUUUAGUCCAGCCCGCAGUUCUGGUGAGGAGUCCUAUGAAACACUGAAGACUCAGUCAGAGGCAGAGCUGUGGGGAGCACAGAGGGACUGCACCCUUCCAAACCACAGUCCCUCGUGGUCAGUGUUCACUUCUCCCCACCAGAGCCAGCUAAGAUGGGAUGUCUCUGCUGCCUGCUGCAGCCACCUGCUGACAUGCCUGUCCCACCAUUAUGGACUCUCCCUCUGGCCCCCUAAGCCCAAAUAAACUCUUUCUUCUAUAA